rnacentral:lncRNA from 1 species
CUCUUUGGAAUUCAAUUGCCAUGAUGAUUUCUCUGUAUGAAGUCAUAAUGGAAUUUCCAUAGAAUCAUAUAUCUUAACCCAUGGCAUCACUCAACAAAUUCCAGUUGCCUGAACAAUGAUGGUCUACUGCGCAAGGAAUUACUAGUGAUUAUUUCCCCCUGAGAUUUGUCACAGUUUGUUUUGGAGUUCAUUACCAAUAAGAAUAAUAACUUAUUAGAGUCCUGUAUGUCAGAAUCUAUUAAUGCACACAUUUCAUGAAGAGAAGUAGUCACUACUGAUGUAAAAAUAGCAUGUGAUUUCUGCCAAGUUUUCCCAAGGUUGGUAAAGAACUAUCGGACUACUGAUGAAUGAUUUCCUGUUUAACCCAUAGAUACCCAUCUACUCUUAGUAGAUUUCCUAUUUAUUACCAAGGAUCAAAUGCAGAAGGAAAGGAAAGAAGGAUUCAAGUUUUCCCCAAGCAGAUGGAGGUCGAAAUUGGAUUGCUGCUGACUGUUGUCCCUUGUUAUGGCCUGUGGAGAUAUGACAAUUGAGAAGGAACUUAGAGGAAUGCCAAGUAGCAGAGCAUGAAGAGGUGGGGAUGACCCACUCGCUGCCUUGGACACUUGAGUGCUGUAGCACUUGGGAAGAUGGAAAAAAAAGGGGACUUUCCUAGAAUAGCCUCAGAGAUACAUUCCCCCAAAUGAUCAAAUACUCAAAAAUUUUGGCUUGCCCUCUGAAAGACACACAGAUCCUGCCCACAUUGAUUAAAGCCAUCUUUCUAUCCAUGCCCGCCUACUUCACUGUCCUUCCCAUUACUGAUGUCAGGACUCUCUCUUAUCUCUCCAGGGAGGCUGAAACCCAACUAUAACUUGGGGAGUAAACUUUGUAGAGUUAUCUGAGGGUCUGAGAGAGAUGAAGUUUCCCUAUCUAGGGUCACAAAGCCUGAAAAUGUCUAAAGCAGAAUUGGAUCCCAGAUUAUCCUUGUUCCAAACUCAGUGUCUCUAUGUCUAAUCAAACAAUGAGUAUUGAUGAAGAAUUUUGCUUCUGUUGUUUUGAGUCAUGCCUGAUACAUUUCUCAGAGAAGAUCCUGGAGUGGUUUGCCAUUUCCUUCUCGAGUUCAUUUUACAGAUGAAGAAAUUGAGGCUAGUAGGAUUAACUGACUUGCCCAGUGAGGAAGUAUCUGAGGCCAGAUUUGAACUGAUUCUAGA